rnacentral:rRNA from 1 species
UACAGAGGUCUCAAGCGUUGUUCGGAUUCAUUGGGCGUAAAGGGUGCGUAGGCGGCGUGGUAAGUCGGGUGUGAAAGUCUCGGGGCUUAACUCCGAAACUGCAUUCGAUACUGCGGUGCUUGAGGACUGGAGAGGAGACGUGGAAUUUACGGUGUAGCAGUGAAAUGCGUAGAGAUCGAUAAGGAAGACCGUGGCGAAGGCGGGUCGUCGUG